GUCUUUAGUUUCUAUGGAAGCCCCAAAAUUUCCGAGAAACAUAAUAGUUAAAUGUUUUUGUUGGUGCGUUUUUUUUUGUUUUUUUUUUAAAGAAAACCUCAAAAUUUGCGCUUACAAGCUGACAAAAAGUAGGAAAAGAACCAACAUAAUUUUGUGAUAUUAUUUCAUUAAGCAAAUGUAAAUUGACAAAUAAUUGGUGCUUUUUAUUUGAAUAGAAAAAAAAAGAAAAUAUACUUUUGUAGACACAUUGUACGUACACAAGUGUUAUACAUGCCAUGCGAUAACGAAGUCCUUGAACUUGAGAUUCUUUUGAAAGGAGCUGUCUUUAGUUUCUAUGGAAGCCCAAAAAUUCCGAGAAACAUAAUGCUAAAUGUUUUUAUGAAACAGGGUGGAGGACACGCACUAACCAUGAGAUAUAUCAAUUGUAUGAAGACCCACCAAUAGUGACGGAAAUAAAAAAAGAACAGCCUACGUUGGGAAGGUCACCUUGAAAGAAUGUCAGAUAACAGAGGAGCGAAAAUUGUAUACAGGCAAAAACCAAAAGGCAGGCGACCCAAAGGCAGACCCCGAAUGCGAUGGAUUGAUGAUGUAGAAGCAGAUCUGAAGCAGCUUGGGGUCAGGGCAUGGAGACGAAGGGCCCAGGAGAGAUCUGAAUGGAAGGAUGUGUUAAAGCAGGCCAGAGCCCUCCAUGGGCUGUAGCGCCACUGGGAUUGGUUUGGAUUGAUUGUUGACCAGCUGACUGAGUACCUAUUGUAAAUGUUUUCUUAUGUCCAGCAGCAUUGUGUAUUUAGAACGGGGCUAAUCAACGCAAAAAAAAAUGUUCCUGUACAUCACUCUAGUCAUUAGCACGUUGUGUAUAAGUCGUGUGUCUUGCGCCAUUGUAUACAGGCUGAAAGGUCCAAAUGAAGUUAAUUACUAUGAUAAAUUUUUUUCCAAAUUAUUAGUAGAGAAACCUCCACAAGUUGACAGACCGAUACCGGUUUCCAGAUGUUAACAAAUCAAGAUUGGUGCUAAACAGCAUUGCAGUUAGCUCAAGAGGAAUUUAGUACACUAGAUUUAGCAAAAAAUGUAGAAUUUCAUUAAUUUAACAAUUCGAAAAAGCCCAAACUGUAUAGCUAUGAUAAUUCAACUCAAAUUAGCUUCCCUAAGAAUGGUUAAUUCUUACUCUCCGUGCCCUGAAAUACAUAGUGCUGACUUAGAUCUAGAUCUACUGUUACGUCCAUGCAAGUUUCAUCUAACUUGAAGACUGUUAGACACCUUAUUUAUAUAGGUUAGUUAUUUUAGUUAUUUAGCGACGCACCAUAGUAGACGCAUAUUGAACGGGACUAGUGACGUUUGGGAUAUGUUGGGUUAGAGACCGGAAAAUGAGUUAGCGAUAGAACACUCCAGGGUAACGACGUGUUUAGUGACAGAGACUUCUACUGUGGCCUUUUAUCAGAAUAAAUCUAUGUAAAUUUGUUCAUCAUCGUUUGACUACAUCUCUUCACUUGUUACAAUAGAUGUGCCAGUUCUUGUUUGUGUUGUAGUUCAACUGCACGUAAUACACCCGAACAAUUACACCCAAACGAUUGCAGAGUAAUUGGUUGACUUCAAGACAGCCUGAACUAGCAACAUCACAGUGGCGACCCCCGACGCCCGAAGCCCGAACAUCGAACCGGACCUCGAAGCAGAACGUUUACUCAGGUGAGGGUCGUGCACUCGAAGUUAUAAGAUUUCAUCGGAGUACGGCUGAACACAGCAGCAUCGCAGUGUGACUUUGUUCUGGAUCUACAAGCAGUCGUCGCCUGUUUGAUCGCACGUUCAACGAGCCGUUAACUCAGGGUGACCUUCGUCAGGACAGUAAUCAUCGCAACGUCUGGUUGAGUAGACUUAACCAGUAUAUUAUCAAAGCCUGAUCUUCAUAUGCUGAAUCGACCUACAACCAGAGAAACCGUUCGUUCAUAACGGGUGAGAGAUCGUUAGUGAACCUGUUGGACAUAUUUUUUCUUCGUCAUAGGAGCCACAUCGAGUAUCAAGUUUUACCUCGUCAGUUUCGAGAAGGACAGUUUGCCCGCUGUCAGAAGUAUUGUGAGUACUACAAGUUUGGUAGCUAACUAAAUCGCUCUGUCGUCUUACCCUUGGAGAGAUUCUUGUGGAGCAGUUUGCUCAUUGAACCGGUUGCUUGCCAUUUUUAUAACGGUCACUGUGUUUAACCUUUGGAAGGUUAGUAAAGUUGUAUGUAUCAUUACUGAAUAUUGAUAUAUUUAGUAUUCGUCGGUCUAGACCAUACCUAGACUUGUUAGCAGUGAAGUUGUGGAAACAGCUACAUCCACUUAAUUUCGUUGAAAACCGUUAAUCGUCUAACGGAACGUCGUCGGAGGUGACCUUGGUUUCACCUAGUCUACAUUGGACAGUUUGGUCUAGUGAAGCAGAGUACAACAGCAAACUUCGUCGUACUACCAGAGUAGCAGCAGAAGCAGUGAACUAUUUUAGAGAACCGUUAUUCGUCAGCCCAGAUCAAGUCAUCGUCAAGAAAGUCGUUAUUCGUCAGCCCAGAUCAAGUCAUCGUCAAGAAAGUCGUUAUUCGUCCAGUCGUCCAGAUCAAGUUGCCGUCAAGAGACUGUUAUUUGUCAGUAGUCGUCUACACAAGUCAAGUCAUCGCCAGGAGAACCGUUAACCUAUUCGUCAGUAACUGUGUACACAAAGUCGUCGGAACUACACAUACGGUCAUCAACAGUCGUCGAAGGAACUGGAACAUUUUGCUGUGGCAUAUCAGGACAUCUGUGGCAUUACGUGGGAUACUGGUAGCACCGGAGAACAGAGUCAGAACUGGAAGAGAGGCAGUGGAAUUUGUUGUGAUCUAGCAUAUUCGGGAGUCCGAACAAAGGGAUCUUUCUUAUCAAAAGCUAAGUGCCAUUUUUCUUAUUAGUAUAUGUUUAGAUUGCCCUUAGAAAUAGAUUUUGUCUAAAUUUGGUACGUUAGCCUGAGUAAAAUCAGGUGGUGCGCCUUAAAACCCGUCGGGGUAGAAGACGUAAUUUAGAUGAAAAGCUAUAUUAUACGUUUAGGAUUGUAAUUUGUUUUGUUUGUAUAAACGUCAUAUCCGUUGUUGCCUGGUUACUUCGUGACGUCAUCAUUGUGUGCCAUAUUGUCAUAUCCCAACCCAUAGCGAUAGUCUCAUUUAAUUAUUUCAUUUGUUUAUAUUAUUUUAAAUUAUUUAUUUUUAUUAAUUUAAUUAGAUCUGUAUUUUUUUUCACUUAAUGAUAGAAAGUGCGGGUAGGAUUCUUUUACUGUGAAUCAGACUAAAAUAAUUUUUAGUUUGAGCGGUUAAAAUCAAAUAUGAUUUUGCCAUGAGAAUAAUGCCGAAACUGGCUAUGUAGUCAAACACUGUCGUCUGGCUAAAUAUAGAUCUACACAUUUUGUACAUCUCUUUGGUACAUUUGAUUAUCUAGACUCGAAUUUGGAAUAUUAUCAUUAAUUGAAAAAUGAAUGAAGAUUACUGCCAGUGAAGACCAUUUGUGACGUGUGACGUGCCCAUAAGAUGCCACAUUUUCUUUUAUGAUGAACUGUGUACUAAUGAAGAUGAUUUUGGAAUGUUAUGAACUGUUAUGAACAUUGACAUGAAUAUGAGGAACUGUCAAGUCAAGAUGAAGAUGUCAAGAUGAAGAUGUCAAGAUUUUAUGUUUGUGGUCUUCCCCUUAAAUUGAAAAUGCCCUUGUAAGACUUGACAGUAGUGGAAAAAUAUUGACAUAUUUUUUUUUCAAGGGGGGGAGGAAUCUGUUAGACACCUUAUUUAUAUAGGUUAGUUAUUUUAGUUAUUUAGCGACGCACCAUAGUAGACGCAUAUUGAACGGGACUAGUGACGUUUGGGAUAUGUUGGGUUAGAGACCGGAAAAUGAGUUAGCGAUAGAACACUCCAGGGUAACGACGUGUUUAGUGACAGAGACUUCUACUGUGGCCUUUUAUCAGAAUAAAUCUAUGUAAAUUUGUU